rnacentral:rRNA from 1 species
UACGUAGGUGGCAAGCGUUGUCCGGAAUUAUUGGGCGUAAAGGGCUCGUAGGCGGUCUGUUGCGUCGGGAGUGAAAACUUACAGCUUAACUGUGAGCGUGCUUCCGAUACGGGCGGACUUGAGGUAUUCAGGGGAGAACGGAAUUCCUGGUGUAGCGGUGAAAUGCGCAGAUAUCAGGAGGAACACCGGUGGCGAAGGCGGUUCUCUGGGAAUAUCCUGACGCUGAGGAGCGAAAGUGUGGGGAGCGAACAGG